GGGGGCACACGGUCGUUCUUCUGUACCCCCCACGACCUUAGAAAGACAACCUUGUGUCUCUAG
rnacentral:precursor_RNA from 1 species